rnacentral:lncRNA from 1 species
AGACAAAUAUUGUCUGAGAGUUAACAUGUGAGCUAGCCACCAUUAAUUAAGGAAAAUUAAUUUGUUUAUCAGAUUACACAGGCAGUCAUCUAGCAAGGUCCUGAGGGGACAAACGACCAGGCAAGUUUGGCUGAAGGAUGGUCCGAAAAAGCCUGCAUCAUCUGAUGAUUCCCAGGGAGGCCGACCCAGAAGAUCUAAGCAACCUAAGGGUGCGGAGCACUCACUGACUGGGUGGGAGGGCAGGAUUGCUAAAAGGAAAGAAGAAAGAAGCCCUAAAAGAGAUGUAGAAAGAGUCAAGAGCAGGGAAACUCCAAGCCAUCAUGAGAAUCCUCUCCAACCAAUCUUAAAAUAAUGCCACAAAAAUGAAUACAAAAUGAAUACAGGAGUGAAAGAAUCAUUGAGGGAGACAGAGUGAGCAAAUUUCAAGAAGAGAACAAUCUGAAAGGUAGGCAGAGAAUGUCUGGGGCACUUUAGUAAGAGGGGAGCACAGCCAGCAGGAGGCUACAGCAAGGAGUAUGGAACAAGCCCAGACCUCCUCCACCCCACAUCUACUGUUCCAGGUUCUGAACCUGAGCCAAAGCCAACAUCAGGACCCUGAGAUCCUGCCUGGGUCAGUAGUGUAAAAUUGGAUUUGAACUCUGGACUUCAAUCCCCACAAUUCCUUGCUCCACUUCCCCAGAAUGCUUUGUAAUCUCACCUGGGCCAAGAUUGAGAAGGUAUUUAACCUGAUUGCAAAAGCUUUUAGGGCUCUUUUGGACUUCCAUUUUGGAGCAGAGGCAUCUCUUCCAUGAUGUGAGGUUAUUUUGUCUAGGCCUCUGGCCUAGGCACAUGUUUCUUACUUGUAUAUUCUUUAAUCCUUAAUCCUUAAUAAACCUCUAAAAAAUAUAAUACUCCUUGCA